AACGCUGGCGGCGUGCCUAACACAUGCAAGUCGCACGAGAAAGUGGAGCAAUCCAUGAGUACAGUGGCGCACGGGUGAGUAACACGUGACUUAUCUACCUCCGAGUGGGGAAUAACCUAGAGAAAUCUGGGCUAAUACCGCAUAACACUUACGAGUCAAAGCAGCAAUGCGCUUGGAGAGGAGGUCGCGGCAGAUUAGUUAGUUGGCGGGGUAAUGGCCCACCAAGACGAUGAUCUGUAUCCGGCCUGAGAGGGCGCACGGACACACUGGAACUGAAACACGGUCCAGACUCCUACGGGAGGCAGCAGUGGGGAAUUUUGCGCAAUGGGGGAAACCCUGACGCAGCAACGCCGCGUGGAGGAUGAAAUCCCUUGGGAUGUAAACUCCUUUCGAUUGGGAAGAUUAUGACGGUACCAAUAGAAGAA
rnacentral:rRNA from 1 species